rnacentral:rRNA from 1 species
UGAACGCUGGCGGCGUGCCUAAUACAUGCAAGGCGAGCGAACAGACGAGGAGCUUGCUCCUCUGCCGUUAGCGGCGGACGGGUGAGUAACACGUGGAUAACCUACCUAUAAGACUGGGAUAACUUCGGGAAACCGGAGCUAAUACCGGAUAAUAUAUUGAACCGCAUGGUUCAAUAGUGAAAGACGGUUUUGCUGUCACUUAUAGAUGGAUCCGCGCCGCAUUAGCUAGUUGGUAAGGUAACGGCUUACCAAGGCAACGAUGCGUAGCCGACCUGAGAGGGUGAUCGGCCACACUGGAACUGAGACACGGUCCAGACUCCUACGGGAGGCAGCAGUAGGGAAUCUUCCGCAAUGGGCGAAAGCCUGACGGAGCAACGCCGCGUGAGUGAUGAAGGUCUUCGGAUCGUAAAACUCUGUUAUUAGGGAAGAACAAAUGUGUAAGUAACUAUGCACGUCUUGACGGUACCUAAUCAGAAAGCCACGGCUAACUACGUG